GACGAACGCUGGCGGCGUGCUUAACACAUGCAAGUCGAGCGAGGCCCCGCCUUCGGGCGGGUGUCCUAGCGGCGAACGGGUGAGUAACACGUGGGCAACCUGCCCUCAGCUCUGGGAUAACCCCAAGAAAUUGGGGCUAAUACCGGAUACGACCGCUGACCGCAUGGUCUGGUGGUGGAAAGAUUUAUCGGCUGGGGAUGGGCCCGCGGCCUAUCAGCUUGUUGGUGGGGUAGUGGCCUACCAAGGCGACGACGGGUAGCCGGCCUGGGAGGGUGACCGGCCAGACUGGGACUGAGACACGGCCCAGAAUCCUACGGGAGGCAGCAGGGGGGAAUAUUGCGCAAUGGGCGGAAGCCUGACGCAGCGACGCCGCGUGGGGGAUGACGGCCUUCGGGUUGUAAACCUCUUUCAGCAGGGACGAAGCGAAAGUGACGGUACCUGCAGAAGAAGCACCGGCCAACUACGUGCCAGCAGCCGCGGUAACAC
rnacentral:rRNA from 1 species